rnacentral:rRNA from 1 species
UAAUACGUAGGCAGCAAGCGUUGUUCGGAAUUACUGGGCGUAAAGAGUGUGUAGGCGGUGCUCUAAGUUUGGUGUGAAAUCUCCCGGCUCAACCGGGAGGCUGCAUCGAAUACUGGAAUGCUAGAGGGUGGGAGAGGUAAGCGGAAUUCCUGGUGUAGCGGUGAAAUGCGUAGAUAUCAGGAGGAACACCUGUGGUGUAGACAGCUUACUGGACCACUUCUGACGCUGAGACACGAAAGCGUGGGUAGCAAACAGGAUUAGAUACCCUGGUAGUCCACGCCCUAAACGAUGCAUACUUGGUGUGGGCCAUUCAUUUGGUCUGUGCCGGAGCUAACGCGUUAAGUAUGCCGCCUGGGGAGUACGGUCGCAAGGCUG